rnacentral:rRNA from 1 species
UACGAAGGGUGCAAACGUUGCUCGGAAUCAUUGGGAGACGUAAGCGCAGCAGGCGGCUUGCAGAGCCUGGCGUGAAAGCCCUCGGCUCAACCGGGGGAGGUCGUUGGGGACCUGCAAGCUAGAGACCGGUAGGGGAGGGUGGAAUUCCCGGUGUAGUGGUGGAAUGCGUAGAGAUCGGGAGGAACACCAGUGGCGAAGGCGGCCCUCUGGGCCGGGUCUGACGCUGAGGCGGCGGAAGGCGUGGGGAGCGAUCCGG